AUCAACGCUGGCGGCGUGCCUAACACAUGCAAGUCGCACGAGAAAGUCGGGGCAACCUGGCGAGACAGUGGCAGACGGGUGAGUAACACGUGAACAAUCUACCCUCGAGUGGGGAAUAACGCCGCGAAGCGGCGCUAAUACCGCAUAACGUUCCGAGACCGCAUGGUCAUGGAACCAAAGGCGAAAGUCGCUCGAGGAGGAGUUCGCGCCUGAUUAGCUAGUGUGGUGAGGUAACGGCCCACCAAGGCAACGAUCAGUAGCCGCCUGAGAGGGCGUACGGCCACACUGGAACUGUGACCACGGUCCAGACUCCUACGGGAGGCAGCAGUGGGGAACUUUUCGCAAUGGGGGCAAGCCCUGACGCAAGCAACGCCGCGUGGGUGAUGAAGUCUCUUGGGACGUAACCCUGUCGACGUGGGAAGAAACCGCAAGGGUUGACGUACCCGUGAAGAAGCCCCGGCUAACUCCGUGCCAGCAGCCGCGGUUAAUACGGGGGGCAAGCGUUGUUUCGGAAUUACUGGGCGUAAAGGGCGCGUAGGCGGUUUGCUAAGUGAUGUGAAGACUCUGGGCUUACCCUAAGAGCCUGCAUCAAUAACUGGCCAGGCAGAGUUCUGGAGGGGGAUAGCGGAAUUCCUGGUGUAGCGGUGAAAUGCGUAGAUAUCAGGAGGAACACCGGUGCGAAGGCGGCUAUCUGACAGGAUCUGACGCUGAUGCGCGAAAGCUAGGGGAGCAAACAGGAUUAGAUACCCUGGUAGUCCUAGCCCUAAACGAUGGAUACUUUGCGGUGACUGGGAAUUGAGUCCAUCCGUGCGAAGCUAACGCAUUAAGUAUCCCGCCUGGGGAGUACGGUCGCAAGCCUGAAACUCAAAGGAAUUGACGGGGGGCCCGCACAAGCGGUGGAGUAUGUGGUUUAAUUCGACGCAACGCGAAGAACCUUACCUGGGCUCGACAUGGCUAGUGACAGGGGUGGAAACAUCCUUUCCCCCGUCAAGGGAACCUAGACACAGGUGCUGCAUGGCUGUCGUCAGCUCGUGUCGUGAGAUGUUGGGUUAAGUCCCGCACGAGCGCAACCUUGCCAUUAUUGCUACAGAUUCAGUUGAGCACUCUAGAUGGGACUGCCGGUGACAACCGGGGAAGGUGGGGAUGACGUCAAGUCCUCAUGGCCCUUAUGGUAGGGCGACACCGUCAUGAUCAAUGGCGCGUACAGAGGGUCCCAACCCGUGAGGGUGAGCCAAUCAGAAAGCCGUGCUCGUAGAUCGGAUUGAGGUCUGCAACUCGACUCAUGAAGUCGGAAUCGCUAGUAAUCGCGGAUCAGCAUGUCAGCGGUGAAUACGUUCCCGGGCCUUGUACAACAACCGCCCGUCACACCAUGGGAGCUGGGGUUCACCAGAAGCAGGUUGCCUAACCGCAAGGAGGGCGCCUACCACGGUGACAUUCAGUGACUGGGGUG
rnacentral:rRNA from 1 species